rnacentral:rRNA from 1 species
UACGGAGGAUCCGAGCGUUAUCCGGAUUUAUUGGGUUUAAAGGGUGCGUAGGCGGCCUUAUAAGUCAGGGGUGAAAUACGGCAGCUCAACUGUCGCAGUGCCUUUGAUACUGUAGGGCUUGAAUCUAUUUGAAGUGGGCGGAAUAAGACAAGUAGCGGUGAAAUGCAUAGAUAUGUCUUAGAACUCCGAUUGCGAAGGCAGCUCACUAAGUUAGUAUUGACGCUGAUGCACGAAAGCGUGGGGAUCGAACAGGAUUAGAUACCCUGGUAGUCCACGCCCUAAACGAUGAUAACUCGAUGUUGGCGAUACACAGUCAGCGGCCCAGCGAAAGCGUUAAGUUAUCCACCUGGGGAGUACGCCCGCAAGGGUGAA